AUUGAACGCUGGCGGCAUGCUUUACACAUGCAAGUCGAACGGCAGCGCGGGCUUCGGCCUGGCGGCGAGUGGCGAACGGGUGAGUAAUGCAUCGGAACGUGCCCAGUAGUGGGGGAUAGCCCGGCGAAAGCCGGAUUAAUACCGCAUACGACCUGCGGGUGAAAGCGGGGGACCGAAAGGCCUCGCGCUAUUGGAGCGGCCGAUGUCGGAUUAGCCAGUUGGUGGGGUAAAGGCUUACCAAGGCGACGAUCCGUAGCUGGUCUGAGAGGACGACCAGCCACACUGGGACUGAGACACGGCCCAGACUCCGACGGGAGGCAGCAGUGGGGAAUUUUGGACAAUGGGGGCAACCCUGAUCCAGCCAUGCCGCGUGCGGGAAGAAGGCCUUCGGGUUGUAAACCGCUUUUGUUCGGGAAGAAAUCCUCUGGGCUAAUACCCCGGGGGGAUGACGGUACCGGAAGAAUAAGCACCGGCUAACUACGU
rnacentral:rRNA from 1 species